rnacentral:misc_RNA from 1 species
AGCAUCCAGGCAACAUGUAGUCUACACUACACAGAUGGUCUUGACAGAAUUGAAUCGCGUUUUAGAAUUUAUCAAUUACGAUAGUAGCUUGGUGCAGCCGUAAAAAAUCAUCCAGCCCAAACUAGGGACUUCUGAAUAUGAAGGAAUAACUACCACACAAGGAUGGACUUGAAGUUUAUCAUCACAAUAAACAACAGGGUCAUUGGUCUCAGUAAGGGAUGAUUAAUCCGAAUUAAUUGGCUAACAAUUGGAUAUUCGGACAUGAACAUCUCCAGCAUUCAGUACAGAUCA